GUACAAGGGCAAAGCUGUCGAAAGGCAGCGACGCAAAGCCAUGGGUCUACAGCGGAUUACCGCCAUGACUGCCAGGCUGCCGA
rnacentral:ncRNA from 1 species